GAGUAACACGUGGAGAACCUGCCCCCUCCCCCGGGAUAGCCGCCCGAAAGGACGGGUAAUACCGGAUACCCCGGGGUGCCGCAUGGCACCCCGGCUAAAGCCCCGACGGGAGGGGAUGGCUCCGCGGCCCAUCAGGUAGACGGCGGGGUGACGGCCCACCGUGCCGACAACGGGUAGCCGGGUUGAGAGACCGACCGGCCAGAUUGGGACUGAGACACGGCCCAGACUCCUACGGGAGGCAGCAGUGGGGAAUCUUGCGCAAUGGGGGGAACCCUGACGCAGCGACGCCGCGUGCGGGACGGAGGCCUUCGGGUCGUAAACCGCUUUCAGCAGGGAAGAGUCAAGACUGUACCUGCAGAAGAAGCCCCGGCUAACUACGUGCCAGCAGCCGCGGUAAUACGUAGGGGGCGAGCGUUAUCCGGAUUCAUUGGGCGUAAAGCGCGCGUAGGCGGCCCGGCAGGCCGGGGGUCGAAGCGGGGGGCUCAACCCCCCGAAGCCCCCGGAACCUCCGCGGCUUGGGUCCGGUAGGGGAGGGUGGAACACCCGGUGUAGCGGUGGAAUGCGCAGAUAUCGGGUGGAACACCGGUGGCGAAGGCGGCCCUCUGGGCCGAGACCGACGCUGAGGCGCGAAAGCUGGGGGAGCGAACAGGAUUAGAUACCCUGGUAGUCCCAGCCGUAAACGAUGGACGCUAGGUGUGGGGGGACGAUCCCCCCGUGCCGCAG
rnacentral:rRNA from 1 species